rnacentral:tRNA from 1 species
AUGUAGCUCAAUGGUAGAGUAUUUGCCUAGAAUGUGCAAGGCUCUGGGUUCAAUUCCUGGCAU